rnacentral:rRNA from 1 species
UGGGCGUAAAGGGCGCGUAGCCGGUUUGUUAAGUCGAAGGUGAAAUCCUCGGGCUCAACUCGAGAAUUGCCUUCGAUACUGGCAAACUAGAGUGCCGGAGAGGAAAGCGGACUCUUGGUGUAACGGUGGAAUGUGUAGAUAUCAAGAGGAACACCGGUGGCGAAGGCGGCUUUCUGGACGCACACUGACGCUCAGGCGCGAAAGCGUGGGUAGCAAACAGGAUUAGAUACCCUGGUAGUCCACGCCAUAAACGAUGGGUACUAGGUGUCGGGGGUAUCGACCCCUCCGGUGCCGCAGUUAACGCACUAAGUACCCCGCCUGGGGAUUAUGGUCGCAAGGCUGAAACUCAAAGGAAUUGACGGGGCCCCGCACAAGCGGUGGAGCAUGUGGUUUAAUUCGACGCAACGCGAAGAACCUUACCUGGGCUUGACAUGCUUGGGACAGCGCUGGAAACAGCGUCUCUCCUUCGGGAGCCCUUGCACAGGUGCUGCAUGGCUGUCGUCAGCUCGUGUCGUGAGAUGUUGGGUUAAGUCCCGCAACGAGCGCAACCCUCGUUACUAGUUGCCAUCAGUUCGGCUGGGCACUCUAGUGAGACUGCCGGUGAUAAACCGGAGGAAGGUGAGGAUGAUGUCAAGUCAUCAUGGCCCUUACGCCCAGGGCUACACACGUGCUACAAUGGUCGGCACAAAGGGUCGCUAAGCCGCGAGGUGGAGCUAAUCCCAAAAAGCCGGCCUCAGUUCGGAUUGGAGUCUGCAACCCGACUCCAUGAAGGCGGAAUCGCUAGUAAUCGCGGAUCAGCAUGCCGCGGUGAAUAUGUUCCCGGGGCUUGUACACACCGCCCGUCAUAUCACCCGAGUCGGGGAUACCCGAAGUCCGUGACCCAACCAUUUGGAGGGAGCGGCCGAAGGUGUGCCUG